GAUGAACGCUGGCGGCGUGCUUAACACAUGCAAGUCAAGGGGGCCCAGCAAUGGGCAACCGGCGAACGGGUGCGUAACACGUGAGCAACCUACCGAAUUGUGGGGGAUAGCCGGCCCAACGGCCGGGUAAUACCGCAUAAGCUCGAGGCGAGGCAUUUCGACUCGAGGAAAUCUACGGAGCGAUUCGAGGGGCUCGCGGCCUAUCAGCUAGUUGGUGAGGUAACGGCUCACCAAGGCGACGACGGGUAGCUGGUCUGAGAGGAUGGCCAGCCACAUUGGGACUGAGAUACGGCCCAGACUCCUACGGGAGGCAGCAGUGGGGAAUCUUGCGCAAUGGCCUGACGGCUGACGCAGCGACGCCGCGUGAGGGAUGACGCUCUUCGGAGUGUAAACCUCUUUUGCCCGGGACGAACUGCCGGCAUUUGCCGGCUUGACGGUACCGGGUGAAUAAGCACCGGCUAACUCCGUGCCAGCAGCCGCGGUAAUACGGGGGUGCG
rnacentral:rRNA from 1 species